AUGGACGGCGGGGUUGCUGCGGUGGCCUCCGCCGCUGCGGCUGCGGCCGCGGCGUCGUCGACGGUGACGACGGCGGUGGCGCCUCCCGGGGCGGGGGCGGGGGCGGGCGCGCCGCCGCCGUUCCUGAUGAAGACGUACGACAUGGUGGACGACCCGGCCACGGACGCCGUCGUCUCCUGGGGCCCGGCCAACAACAGCUUCAUCGUCUGGAACACGCCCGAGUUCGCCCGGGACCUCCUCCCCAAGUACUUCAAGCACAACAACUUCUCCUCCUUCGUCAGGCAGCUCAACACCUACGGAUUCAGAAAAGUUGAUCCAGACAAGUGGGAAUUUGCAAAUGAGGGUUUUUUGAGAGGUCAAAAGCAUCUACUGAAGACCAUCAACAGAAGGAAACCAUCGCAUGCAAACAACCAAGUGCAAGUGCCACAGCAGCAACGGCACCACCAGCAGCAGCAUCAGCAGCAACCCCAGCUGCAGAAUGCUCCAAUGCCUUCUUGUGUAGAGGUGGGGAAGUUUGGGAUGGAGGAAGAGAUUGAGAUGCUAAAAAGGGAUAAAAAUGUUCUAAUGCAGGAGCUUGUCAGGCUGAGACAGCAACAGCAGACCACUGACCAUCAGCUGCAGACUUUGGGCAAGCGUCUUCACGGAAUGGAGCAACGGCAGCAGCAAAUGAUGUCUUUCCUGGCUAAAGCAAUGCAGAGCCCUGGCUUCCUAGCACAAUUUGUACAGCAGAACGAAAACAGCAAACGAAGAAUAGUAGCCGCCAACAAGAAAAGGAGGCUACCUAAGCAAGAUGACGGCCUGAACCCUGAAAGUGCAUUGUUGGAUGGCCAGAUAAUCAAGUAUCAGCCUAUGAUCAAUGAAGCGGCCAAAGCAAUGCUGAGGAAGAUCCUGCAGCAGGAUACCUCCCCACACAGAUUUGAAUCCAUGGGCAAUUCAGAUAAUUUGCUACUGGAGAACUGUAUGCCAAGUGCUCAAACUUUUGACAGCUCUUCAUCAACCCGGAAUUCUGCAGUCACCCUUGCAGAGGUCCCAGGCAACUCAGGCAUGCCAUAUAUGCCCACUAGCUCUGGACUUUCAGCAAUUUGUUCAUCUUCAACUCCCCCUGAGAUGCAGUGUCCAGUUCUGGACAGCAACUCAUCCACACAACUUCCCACACAACUUCCCAACAUGAGUGCUGCGUCUUCUAUUCCAAAGGCUAUGACACCAGGUUUAAGUGAUAUCAGCAUUCCAGGAUUCCCAGAUCUGCAUGAUCUCAUAACGGAGGACGCAAUUAAUAUUCCUGUAGAGAAUUUCGCAAUGCCUGGUCCUGAGUGUAUAUUCCCCCUACCUGAUGAAGGCAGUGAUGACUCUGUUCCCAUGGACCCCAUCGACACUGAUGAGACGGAUGACACCCAGAAGCUUCCAGGAAUCAUUGAUUCCUUCUGGGAGCAGUUCCUUUGUGCCAGCCCUCUCUCCAUCGACAACGACGAGGUCGACUCAGGUCUGCUGGACACAAGGGAAGCGCAAGAGGAGAAUGGAUGGACCAGGACCGAGAACUUGGCAAACCUGACUGAACAAAUGGGGUUGCUGUCAUCCAACCAUAGAGGGUGA
rnacentral:rRNA from 1 species